GGUGCUUUUAUGAUAAAAUUUGUUACAUUUCUACAUAUGUUAAAAGAAUGCUUAAACAUUACCUCUGAAGUGUGAAGCAGUACACAACAUAUUUGCUUCCUGGUUUCCAUUUCUUUUUAAAUUUAGAUUUAUGAUUUCUUUCAGAAAUUGGUGGUUUUCUUCAAUUGAAGUACCUCAUAGUAAAUGUAACUAUACUAAACCCUAAAUAUAACUCUGCCUUAAGCAAUGAUAUAUAAAAAUUACAACAUUUUAAAAGACAAUGUUCAGAAAACCAGCAUGUUAUGACUGAUAAAAUUAAAAGAUUAAUUAGAAAUUCAAAAUAUAUUCAAUCAUCCAUAAUUCAAUUGCCUUCCACAUGCAUUUUUAAAAUUUAUAAAGUCAUAAUAAUUUUUUCUUUUUCUUUCUCUUUUAUCCUGUGAAGUGUUAAAAUCAGGAAGACAUUGAUUACUUCUCAGAUUUCAAAAAUUUUAACUAUUUUUUUCCACCUGCUCAAAAUCCAGUUACUGGACAGUUAAUUUAUAAUGAUGUAAUUGGGAAAGGACUAUGCUAAAUUCCUACAUUUUCACCUUGUAAGUUGUUUUUAUUGACAAACAUGGGUGUUUUCAAAAUCUCAUAGUUGCAAAUUGCCUCUUUUCCAUAUAUAAAUGGAGGUAUACAAUGACUCUAAUACAGAUAGUUCUAUAAAAAAACACUAUACAUUACAUCAUAUAUUCUCUACCAAAACUCUUAACAAUUACAUUUCUGCAUGCCAUAAAAAGUAUUGCUGUGUUUUUAAAUGGAUUAGAUUUAGAAUGAGUUCAUAAAUCUCAGAGAACAAAAAUUCAAUUGAUACUAAAGAUGGGAAUUCUAGAUAAAAUUUUACUCUUCUGUUUUAAGUUUUCAACUUGAAGAGCUUAGCAUUAUUGAAGUCAUUUUAGUAGUAUGUUAUGUUAUUCUUUUGUAAUUUUAUUUAUCAGACUUCAUCAAUUUUUAGAAUGUUUUAUUUUUAAAGUGGCUUUUUCCCUUUUAGCCUGGGUUUAUGAUUUGAAUUACUAAAACCUCUAGUGUAGCUGUGUUAGUAUAGUUCCCCUAAAAUAUUUAAUUGGACAAUCUACUUUUAUAUGACUCAAACUCAGCAAAGAAACCCAGUUGCCUUUAAUGUCAACAUUUUUUGCUUUAUUCUUAAAAACAUUUCUGUCAUAUCAUAUAACAAAUGAGAUAAAAAGGCCAAAUAUAUGAUGUCUUUUUAAAAUUUUCUGAGUUUAAUAUUAGUACCUCAAUUUAGCUUAGGUUGUUUUCUUUUAAAUAUUUAUUUUUUUUAGUUAUAGGUGGACACAAUCCCUUUGUGUGUGUGUGUGUAUAUAUAUAUAUAUAUUUGGUAUGGUGCUGAGGAUUGAACCCAGUGUCUCAUGCAUACUAAGUGAGCACACUACCUCUGAGCCACAACCCCAGCCAAUAGGUUAGAUUAUUUUUUAAAAGAAGUGAUAUGGAAUAUAUUAUAUAGGUCAAUAGCCAUAUGAAAAAGAGUCAAAACAAGAAUUAAGAUGAUUAAAUGACGACUUUUUACUUAUGUUUUGGUUGACUUAAGUAAUAAGAAAGAUUAUAGGAGAUCAGAAUAGACUAAAGGAAAACCAGAAGAGACUGUUUAGCAGGUAGAAAAAACAGAAUGUAAGAUAACUUUAAUGAUGUGAGAAAUAAUUUAUAUUUGUCAAUAUAAAUAUGUAAAUCAUAAGCCACAUAAACUAUAAUAACU
rnacentral:lncRNA from 1 species